GUGGUUCUGAAUGGAAGGGCCAUCGCUCAACGGAUAAAAGGUACUCCGGGGAUAACAGGCUGAUACCGCCCAAGAGUUCAUAUCGACGGCGGUGUUUGGCCCCUCGAUGUCGGCUCAUCACAUCCUGGGGCUGAAGUAGGUCCCAAGGGUAUGGCUGUUCGCCAUUUAAAGCGGUACGCGAGCUGGGUUUAGAACGUCGUGAGACAGUUCGGUCACUAUCUGCCGUGGGCGCUGGAGAACUGAGGGGGGCUGCUCCUAGUACGAGAGGACCGGAGUGGACGCAUCACUGGUGUUCGGGUUGUCAUGCCAAUGGCACUGCCCGGUAGCUAAAUGCGGAAGAGAUAAGUGCUGAAAGCAUCUAAGCACGAAACUUGCCCCGAGAUGAGUUCUCCCUGACUCCUUGAGAGUCCUGAAGGAACGUUGAAGACGACGACGUUGAUAGGCCGGGUGUGUAAGCGCAGCGAUGCGUUGAGCUAACCGGUACUAAUGAACCGUGAGGCUUAACCUUACAACGCCGAAG
rnacentral:rRNA from 1 species